rnacentral:rRNA from 1 species
AUUGAACGCUGGCGGCAGGCUUAACACAUGCAAGUCGAACGAGCGGCGGACGGGUGAGUAAUGUAUGGGGAUCUGCCCGAUAGAGGGGGAUAACUACUGGAAACGGUGGCUAAUACCGCAUACUAUCGGAUGAACCCAUAUGGGAUUAGCUAGUAGGUGGGGUAAAGGCUCACCUCGGCGACGAUCUCGAGCUGGUCUGAGAGGGUGAGCAGCCCCACUGUGACUGAGACACGGCCCAGACUCCUCCGGGAGGCAGGAGUGGGGAAUAUUGCACAAUGUGCGCAAGCCUGAUGCAGCCAUGCCGCGUGUAUGACGAAGGCCUUCGGGUUGUAAAGUACUUUCAGCGGGGAGGCGUUACCCGCAGAAGAAGCACCGGCUAACUCCGUGCCAGCAGCCGCGGUAAUAC